UACGGAGGGUGCGAGCGUUGUCCGGAAUCAUUGGGCGUAAAGGGUGCGUAGGCGGCGCGGUAAGUCGGGUGUGAAAUCUCGGAGCUUAACUCCGAAACUGCAUUCGAUACUGCCGUGCUUGAGGACUGGAGAGGAGACUGGAAUUUACGGUGUAGCGGUGAAAUGCGUAGAUAUCGUAAGGAAGACCAGUGGCGAAGGCGGGUCUCUGGACAGUUCCUGACACUGAGGCACGAAGGCCAGGGGAGCAAACGGG
rnacentral:rRNA from 1 species